rnacentral:rRNA from 1 species
GACGAACGCUGGCGGCGUGCCUAAUACAUGCAAGUAGAACGCUGAAGAGAGGAGCUUGCUCUUCUUGGAUGAGUUGCGAACGGGUGAGUAACGCGUAGGUAACCUGCCUUGUAGCGGGGGAUAACUAUUGGAAACGAUAGCUAAUACCGCAUAACAAUGGAUGACACAUGUCAUUUAUUUGAAAGGGGCAAUUGCUCCACUACAAGAUGGACCUGCGUUGUAUUAGCUAGUAGGUGAGGUAACGGCUCACCUAGGCGACGAUACAUAGCCGACCUGAGAGGGUGAUCGGCCACACUGGGACUGAGACACGGCCCAGACUCCUACGGGAGGCAGCAGUAGGGAAUCUUCGGCAAUGGGGGCAACCCUGACCGAGCAACGCCGCGUGAGUGAAGAAGGUUUUCGGAUCGUAAAGCUCUGUUGUAAGUCAAGAACGAGUGUGAGAGUGGAAAGUUCACACUGUGACGGUAGCUUACCAGAAAGGGACGGCUAACUACGUGCCAGCAGCCGCGGUAAUACGUAGGUCCCGAGCGUUGUCCGGAUUUAUUGGGCGUAAAGCGAGCGCAGGCGGUUUGAUAAGUCUGAAGUUAAAGGCUGUGGCUCAACCAUAGUUCGCUUUGGAAACUGUCAAACUUGAGUGCAGAAGGGGAGAGUGGAAUUCCAUGUGUAGCGGUGAAAUGCGUAGAUAUAUGGAGGAACACCGGUGGCGAAAGCGGCUCUCUGGUCUGUAACUGACGCUGAGGCUCGAAAGCGUGGGGAGCGAACAGGAUUAGAUACCCUGGUAGUCCACGCCGUAAACGAUGAGUGCUAGGUGUUGGAUCCUUUCCGGGAUUCAGUGCCGCAGCCAACGCAUUAAGCACUCCGCCUGGGGAGUACGACCGCAAGGUUGAAACUCAAAGGAAUUGACGGGGGCCCGCACAAGCGGUGGAGCAUGUGGUUUAAUUCGAAGCAACGCGAAGAACCUUACCAGGUCUUGACAUCCCGAUGCUAUUUCUAGAGAUAGAAAGUUACUUCGGUACAUCGGUGACAGGUGGUGCAUGGUUGUCGUCAGCUCGUGUCGUGAGAUGUUGGGUUAAGUCCCGCAACGAGCGCAACCCCUAUUGUUAGUUGCCAUCAUUCAGUUGGGCACUCUAGCGAGACUGCCGGUAAUAAACCGGAGGAAGGUGGGGAUGACGUCAAAUCAUCAUGCCCCUUAUGACCUGGGCUACACACGUGCUACAAUGGUUGGUACAACGAGUUGCGAGUCGGUGACGGCAAGCUAAUCUCUUAAAGCCAAUCUCAGUUCGGAUUGUAGGCUGCAACUCGCCUACAUGAAGUCGGAAUCGCUAGUAAUCGCGGAUCAGCACGCCGCGGUGAAUACGUUCCCGGGCCU